rnacentral:rRNA from 1 species
GAUGAACGCUGGCGGCGUGCCUAAUACAUGCAAGUCGAGCGAACGGACGAGAAGCUUGCUUCUCUGAUGUUAGCGGCGGACGGGUGAGUAACACGUGGAUAACCUACCUAUAAGACUGGGAUAACUUCGGGAAACCGGAGCUAAUACCGGAUGAUAUUUUGAACCGCAUGGUUCAAAAGUGAAAGACGGUCUUGCUGUCACUUAUAGAUGGAUCCGCGCUGCAUUAGCUAGUUGGUAAGGUAACGGCUUACCAAGGCAACGAUGCAUAGCCGACCUGAGAGGGUGAUCGGCCACACUAGAACGGGGACACGGUCCAGACUCCUACGGGAGGCAGCAGUAGGGAAUCGUCCGCAAUGGGCGAAAGCCUGACGGAGCAACGCCGCGUGAGUGAUGAAGGUCUUCGGAUCGUAAAACUCGGUUAUUAGGGAAGAACAUAUGUGUAAGUAACUGUGCACAUCGUGACGGUACCUAAUCAGAAAGCCACGGCUAACUACGUG